GGGGAGAGCCGGGUCGAUUGAAACACUUUUCAGUUAAACGUCUUUUUCAAAGAUGACGUUACGUAUACAAAUAAUUUUAACAUGUGAUCAACAACUCACAGGUGUGUUCUCUUAGUUGCAAGUGAAAUUAAAUACAUAUGUUGGAUGAUCGAGCUGUUUUUUAACUUUGAACGUAUGUUGACAUUUGUUUCAAACGCCCCGCCUAGUCGGGACGUUUGAAACACGCAUGCGGGACGAAUGAAACAGCAUAUUUUAAAAAUAAUCUAUUGCCCUUACUCUUGUUUUUAUGCAACAUACCAGACAACAUACUAGUGUACUCUUCAUUGCUAAAAUUUCACAUAAUUCCGCAUAAUAUAAAUAGGUCAAAAUAUAUUUUUGGCCCGUGCGUAAUUGUCAAGAUGCACAUUUCGAUUAAAACUCACCUUUCUUCUUUUGGACGACUAAAUUUGCAUUCAAUUUACUUAUUUCCCUGUCCUUAGUCAUGUUUAAGGAUACACAGUUGAACAUCCUUUUAUUUAUUUUAAACAAAAACGACCAGGUCAACAGGAUAUCACGAGACCUGUUACAGCGGAAAUUUAUCCAAGCGCCGCACGGGGUUAAUUUAUUUUCAACACGCACAGCCCGGCGCACAGAAGCAUCCGGAGUCUCUGUGGACAGGUGACACAGGUAGUGUGUACUCCCGUCGGUGCAAGCCUCAUGCGAUCACACUGGACCCAAGGUGGGGGUGACUCCAUCAGCGGGCCAGGUGAUGGUGGGAGGAGCAGCUGAGGUGGCACCAGGGGUGACUCCAGCAAGGGGGGCGGCAUCAGGAGCGGGCGAGAAGAGCCUCUUCUUGGGAGCCCGAGAGGAGGGAGGCUGCUUGGCGGGAUGACGCUGCUUCAGAGUUCGGGUCGCCCGGCCUUAGGGUAAGACCGGACGAUGUCCAGGCAGAAUUCGAGGGCAUCUUCCUCAGGCCAGACAGCUUCGUCAGGCCCGGCAACUCGUCCAGUGGCACCUGGAGAAGCGCUGACCUCGUCACCUGAAGCCUUGGGAGGAGGACGGUCUGUGGAAUGGGAUCCGGUGAAGUCAUUUCCCUCAAACGCGGAGGGUUUAAAAGGCCAGAUCCCUGAACUUGAGAACCCGGAGGUGAUGUUCUUCACUGUUGCAGCCUCUGGUGGGACGGGUGAUUGUCCAGCAGGCGGAGCAGCUUCGACUCCUCGGACACGGGUGUGACUCCGCUGAGGUCACUGACCUGACCUGCUUCUGCCCCAUCUGGGCGCACCUGGACAGUGGUGACCCCUGUAAAUAGUUGUGUGAGCAUAGUUGUGUAUAUAUAUAGUGAUGUGUAUAUAGUUGUUUUGAUAUGUAUAUAGUUGUUAGCAUCGUUUCUACUAGUUAAGUGUAUAUCGUUUUUUUUCAUAUUUAUAUGGUUGUGAGCAUAGUUUAUUUUUAUAAAUGUAGUUAUGUGUUUAUAGUUGUGUUUUAUAUUAAUAAAGUUCAUAUUAAAUACCGGUUUCAUUAAUGUUCCAAAUAUCCUUGGCCUGGAACUGGUGCCUGUCCAGCACCGUCUUUCAAUUUUGGUAGAACAAGUUGACAUUGUUUUGAUUGAAGCUGGACAACCGUUGUUGGCUAGUGGCCUCUGGACGCCGAAGGGGGAAGCUGCUACUGCGCUCCAUGAAGGAGGUGAUCCAGUCCUUCCUCGACCAGGAUGCAGGGAAUGGGCAGCUGAAAUGCACGGGGUCGUAAACAGUUGAUGUACAUUUGUGUGUUUAUGUUUAUGUUAUUUGUUCAUAUUUAUUAAUUAAACUAUGUGCAUAGCAUACAUGUGUGCCUGUCCAAAAAUGUAUGUAGCCCUUUUCACAAC